rnacentral:tRNA from 1 species
GCCCGCGUGGUGGAAUGGUAGACGCGUCCGACUCAAAAUCGGAAGCCGAAAGGCGUGGGGGUUCGAGUCCCUCCGCGGGCACCA